rnacentral:rRNA from 1 species
CGCCGGACCUGACUGCUAUCGGAUUGAUACUAAGUCAUGCGAGUCAUUGUAGCAAUACAAGGCAUACGGCUCAGUAACGCGUAGUCAACCUAACCUAUGGACGGGAAUAACCUCGGGAAACUGAGAAUAAUACCCGAUAGAACAUUAUACCUGGAAUGGUUUAUGUUCCAAAUGAUUUAUCGCCGUAGGAUGGGACUGCGGCCUAUCAGUUUGUUGGUGAGGUAAUGGCCCACCAAGACUAUUACAGGUACGGGCUCUGAGAGGAGUAGCCCGGAGAUGGGUACUGAGACACGGACCCAGGCCCUAUGGGGCGCAGCAGGCGAGAAAACUUUGCAAUGUGCGAAAGCACGACAAGGUUAAUCCGAGUGGUUUCUGCUAAAGAAACCUUUUGUCAGUCCUAGAAACACUGAUGAAUAAGGGGUGGGCAAGUUCUGGUGUCAGCC